rnacentral:rRNA from 1 species
AACGAACGCUGGCGGCAUGCCUAACACAUGCAAGUCGAACGAUACCUUCGGGUCUAGUGGCUCACGGGUUCGUAACGCGUGGGAACCUUCCCUUAGGUUCGGAAUAACUCCCCGAAAGGUGUGCUAAUACCGGAUAAUGUCUUCUGACCAAAGAUUUAUCGCCUUUGGAUGGGCCCGCGUUGGAUUAGCUAGUUGGUAGGGUAAAAGCCUACCAAGGCGAGGAUCCAUAGCUGGUCUGAGAGGAUGAUCAGCCACACUGGGACUGAGACACGGCCCAGACUGCUACGGGAGGGAGAAGUGGGGAAUAUUGGAAAAUGGGCGAAAGCCUGAUGAAGCAAUGACGCGUGAGUGAUGAAGGGCUUAGGGUUGUAAAGCUCUUUUACCCGGGAUGAUAAUGACAGUACCGGGAGAAUAAGCACCGGCUAACUCCGUG